CAAACACAGGAAAGUGGUGAGCCAGAAAAAGUAUAAGAGAGAAAGUAUCCCUAUCAAAUCCAGACAAGUCUGAGGAAAGUAUGCAUUCCUCUUUCUAUGAAAUCAUAAAGCCUGACUGUAGGAAAAUCUUCUAACUGAGCAAGCAAUGCUUUCUGAUCCUGUCCUAAACUGAGUCUCUGGUUUCUGAACAGUUCCAUCUACUUAUUCUUCAGACAAAAUGGAUAACUCCUGAGUUGGACACCAGAAGCAUAGAUUUGUUCUUAUAAGCUGCCACAUCUGGGAAUGGUAUGCACUGUGGCACAGAGUGAAAAGAAGGGACAUGCCCAGUUGAGAACAAGAGGCUUGUAAUAUCACAUAAUUAUACAGAAUCACUGAAUUGUGGGAUUGGAAGGGACCUCUGGAGAUCAUCUAGUCCAAUCCCUAUGCUAAAGCAGAUUCUCUACAAUGCUGUGCAUGUGCAACGUGCAAUAAAGAAACUGAAUUACCUCUCACCCCCAGAGAAGGUGAUCCUCCCGAAUCAGCAUGGUGGCUAUUGGCAGGCAGAACACAUCAUUUGCAUUGUGGCUGCCUGCACCCUGCUUGACCCAUAUAUGAAUACUGCACUUCACCUGAUCCCUAUUGCUUGACCAAAUAACUCAGGUAUAAAAAAGUAUGAUAAAGGCCACUGCAAACUGUCGUGGGCGUACCACACUAUAGCAUUCAUGAGAGCUCGUGCAAAAUGGUUCUCAACAGGCAAGAAAAUUAAAGAGUUAAUAAAUUCAAACCCAUUAUUUUUCCCUAACUGAACAUGUAGGUAAUAAAGGAAAGGUUUUCUUUCGGCAAUAAAUUAGCUCCCACCCUCCCCUUUUUUUGUUAUUACAGUCAUGGUUCAAAGCCCUCUACAAAAACAAGGUCCCACUUUAUUAUAGGACAGUCAGGUUCAGCGCACAGCUUGCAAUAAAGAAAUUAGCAAACCAGAAGCUGCAAUUCUGUAGAAACACUCAAAAACGAAGAGGAUUUAAAGUGACAAGAUCCAAUUAAAUUUAAUUACCCAAGCUGUAUUUUCAUUUUAACUGACACUUUUUAUUAAGGAGCCACAUGCACUAAAGCUAGAAACCUGGGCCAAAUUGCAUCCCAGUAAUACAGUUAUCUUAUGCAAAAUUCUGAGUAUCUAAUUUUCUAAAAUGAAAUUAGAGACAUGGGGUUUGUAAAAGGUUCUCUUUGUCUGAUACUAUAAGAUGGUGUUUGCAAUGUACCUACACUACUGUAUAUCUAUGCAACAGUAACACCUGAUGUACC
ensembl:lncRNA